UCUUGAACCGCAUGGAUUAUUGUAUUUGAUCGCAUCAGGGGAGUAUUUGUCUUCAGCAGUGGCCGAAAUAAAAGGAACCUUUUAUAGUUCAUGUGUAUUAAUGAUUUUGAUGAUGGCACUCAUCAAAAUGUAAUGUUUGUUAUUGAUUUUCUCAAUUGUUGAUUAUGGUAUAUUUUAUGACAUUAUAUUUGUUUGUUUUUUAUUAUGUAAAGCACUUUGAAACCUCAAUGUUGUUGAAAUGUGCUACACAAAUGAACUUGAUUGAAAAGGAGCCAGCAAGAAG